rnacentral:rRNA from 1 species
AUUGAACGCUGGCGGCAUGCCUUACACAUGCAAGUCGAACGGCAGCACGGGUGCUUGCACCUGGUGGCGAGUGGCGAACGGGUGAGUAAUACAUCGGAACAUGUCCUGUAGUGGGGGAUAGCCCGGCGAAAGCCGGAUUAAUACCGCAUACGAUCUACGGAUGAAAGCGGGGGACCUUCGGGCCUCGCGCUAUCGGGUUGGCCGAUGGCUGAUUAGCUAGUUGGUGGGGUAAAGGCCUACCAAGGCGACGAUCAGUAGCUGGUCUGAGAGGACAACCAGCCACACUGGGACUGAGACACGGCCCAGACUCCUACGGGAGGCAGCAGUGGGGAAUUUUGGACAAUGGGCGAAAGCCUGAUCCAGCAAUGCCGCGUGUGUGAAGAAGGCCUUCGGGUUGUAAAGCACUUUUGUCCGGAAAGAAAUCCUUGGCCCUAAUACGGUCGGGGGAUGACGGUACCGGAAGAAUAAGCACCGGCUAACUACGUG